AUACGGAGGGUGCGAGCGUUAAUCGGAAUUACUGGGCGUAAAGCGUACGUAGGCGGUUGGUUAAGUUAGAUGUGAAAGCCGGGGCUUAACCUGGGAACUGCAUUUAAAACUGGCGAACUAGAGUUGAGUAGAGGGGAGUGGAAUUUCAGGUGUAGCGGUGAAAUGCGUAGAGAUCUGAAGGAACACCAGUGGCGAAGGCGACUCCCUGGACUCGAACUGACGCUGAGGUACGAAAGCGUGGGUAGCAAACGGGAUUAGAAACCCUAGUAGUCC
rnacentral:rRNA from 1 species